rnacentral:lncRNA from 1 species
GUGUGUGUGUAUAUAUAUAAAAGAUUUAAAUUUGGAUGCUGGAGAAACUGCUAGAGGUAAAGAAGAGGUUAAACUUAUAAAAGAAGUGGGCUAGAUUUCAGCUUUUGAGAGGCAAUGAGAUGGAUCAAGAGCUUGAAUAUCAAUAAGAGAUACAGGGAUUUACUCUUAAAGAAAGGAAAGGAUGGCCAGGUGUGAUGGGACGUACACACCUUUAAUCUCAGCAGUCGGGAGGCAGAGGCAGGUGGAGCUCUGCUAGCUGUUCUACAGUGCAAGUUCCAAGACAUCCAAGGCUACACAGAGAAUCCAAAACCCUGUCUCAGGUGGGUGGGUUUGGGGGAGGGAAGGGAAGGAAAGGAAAGGGUGAGUAAGACAGGCAACUGAGGUGGAAGAGGGGAUUCACUAAAUGUAUGUAGCAUGUAGUCUGUCAUUAAUUUUUUUUUCAGCUACAUAUGAUUGGAUUUCUGUGAAUAAAUAGACCAGCUACCUCUACUCAGGUUACAGUUCUGAGACCUCAAUUAUAGUCAAUUAUUUUUGUUCUUUUUUUGGUUCUUCUGGGUUAUCUUAACCAAAGAAGGAAGCACUUUGAUUUUCCCCCACCCCACCUGAGUUGUUCCAAAGAUAAUUUAGUUAUGUAGGAGAGAAGCCAGUCCAUUUACACUGAUACAACAGGCAUUAGAAUUUUAAGUUUCCCAUGGACAUAAAUGUGAAAGGUUGGUAGAGAAUUAAGUGGAUUUUUGAUUUUGAACCCAAAUUAUUUCUCUUCUUUCCCUUAAACAAUUGGAACUAGGCCUGGAGAGAUGGUUCAGCAGUUAAGAGCACUGACUGCUCUUCCAGAGGUCUUGAGUUCAAUUCCCAGCAACCACAUGGUGACUCACAGCCAUCUGUAAUGGGAUCUGAUGCCCUUUUCUGGUGUGUCUGAAGAGACUGACAUACAAUAAAUAAAUCUUUAAAACAAACAAACAGACAAACAAACAAACAACCCCAAUUGGAGCUGGAGUAUUUUCUUUUUGGGCAAAACAUUUUCAGGUAUCAAGGAGCUUUCUGUCAUGUUGGGGUUCUCUUCUGUGAGGGUGAACUGACCCUCCCUGUUUUGCAUGGUUUCCUCUGUCAGGCUAAGCAGAUGCUUCAGUACUGGAGAGUUUGCUGGUGCUCAUUAUACAGUAAUGUACUGUAAUUGAAUAAAAUGCUGUGGACAUGACAUGUGAUAUGCAUUGCACACCAAAAUGUCCUUUUUGAGCAGGAUCUGUAACUCUUUUAGUAAAGGCGAAAUUCUCCCAAUUUUGUUAAUCUACUGUAUCAUGUUCAUAAUAGUAAAAAUAGCAGUUCCUUAAUGACAUGUAAUAUUAAACACCUUUUUCACAAGUUGACUUGCUGUCUGGGCAUCUUUGCGGAGUCCAGCCAGAUCUUUUAACCAUUUAUUCCAUUAAGUUGUUACAUUUCUUUCCUUUAAUUUUGAGACAGGAUUUCUCUGGGUAUUCUUGACUGGCCUGGAAUUCAUAGAGAUUUGCCUGUCUCUUCUCCUGCUGGAAUUAAAGGUGGGCACCAUCAUCCAUCACCUGGCUUGAUUUUUGUUUUUAAAGACACAUUCUCUGUCUGUAGCCCAAACUGCUCUGAACUUUGUUCCCAGGAUGCCUUGAGCCUCACUAGUCCUCCUCAGCUGUCUCCUCAGCUGCUAGAGUUGCAUGUUUGUGCCGCUGUGCCUGGCCUUUCUUAGACUCUUUUGCAGCACUGAGGACAAACUCAUUGCCUUGUGCAUACUAACUAGGCAAGGGCUCUGGAAUUGAUUUACAGCUUCAUUUCCCUUCCCAUUUUUCUUUUUAUUUUUUGUGGUUUAUUUUUUCAUUUUUUGUUUGUUUUUGUUUUUGUUUUUUUCGAGACAGGGUUUCUCUGUAAUGCCCCGGCUGUCCUGGACCUUACUUUGUAGACCAGGCUGGCCUCGAGCUCAGAAAUCCGCCUGCCUCUGCCUCCUGAGUGCUGGGAUUAAAGGCGUGCGCCACCACACCCGGCUAUUUUUUCAUUCUUUGGCAGUAUCUUUGGCGUAGCAAUUUUAAAUUUUAUUGAACUCCAACUAAUCCAUUAAUUUUUUUCAUGACUUAUUUUUGUUGUAUUUAAAAAGUAGUUUCCAAGAUCAAGGUCAUCUAGAUUUUUCUAUUUAUCAUUCUAAGAGUGUUAUACUUUUGUUUUUUACAUUUACAUUUGUCUGUGAUUUAUUUUGAGUUUAUUUUUGUGAUAAAUACAGAGUUUAUGUCUAAGUUCAUUGUUUUGCAGUUCAACAUAUAGAUGUCUUACUAGAGUUUGUUUAAAAAGUUUUGUUUUUUUUCUCCAGUUGUGCUGCCUUUGGUUUUUUGCCAGUAAGGUUAGUAGUAUUCGUGUAAACAUAUUUAUGGUACAUUUUGUUUUGUUAUAGUGAUGUACUUGUUUAUUCUUUUUUUUUUUUUAAGAUUUAUUUAUUUAUUAUAUGUAAGUACACUGUAGCUGUCUUCAGACACUGUUACGGAUGGUUGUGAGCCACCAUGUGGUUGCUGGGAUUUGAACUCUGGACCUUUGGAAGAGCAGUCGGGUGCUCUUACCCACUGAGCCAUCUCACCAGCCCUUAUUCUUUUACUUUAUAUAUUUUUUAAUUUUAAAAAUAUUUUUAACAUCAAACCCAGUAUUUUCUUGAGCAUAAUGGUGCACACUUACAAUUCCAGCAGUAAGGAGGCUGAAGCAGAAUUUCUCUGAAUUCAAGAUCAUUGUGGGCUAAUUAGCAAGUUCCAGCCCAGCCAGACUGCUGAGUGAGGUACAUAGAUUUUUAUAGGUUACUAUGUCAGAGUUGGAGAGAUGGCUCAGCAGUUAGGAGCACUGGAUGCACUUGUAGAACACUGGGUUCUGUUCUAAGCACCUACGUGGUGGCUCACAAGUGUCUGUAGCUCCAGUUCCAGAGGCUCUCAGGCCCUCUUCAGGUUCUGUGGAUACCAGGCAUUCAUGUGGUGCGGCAAAACACAUAU